AUCCUUAACCAAUUCUUACACACACAGAAAAAAAAAAACAAAAAAAAAACAAAAACGGACAACCCUUGAAGACGACUCUUCUUCUUCAUCUACACACAAGAGCUAACCCUAAUCUCCCAAAAAAACAAAAAGACCACAACCACCCACCCCAUAACCCCCCGUGCCGCUGCCCUCCUCCAGAGAAUCACCAACACCAGUCACCCCGACCACCACUCCAAGCCCAGCAACUUCCGCCGGCCUCCCCCCCCUCCGUUGUCACACCCGAAGACCACAUUCUCAGCAGCUCGCCGGAAUCCAAACGCCAGCCCUAACGCCUUAAAACCCGCCGGAAACCAACCAGACCACCGCUGAACUUCGAAAACAGCCGACUCUCACCCCAUCUCCCUCACCAGCCCGUCAUCGUCCCUCACAGCCCCACCUCCGCCGGAUCUCCAAAGACCUGAAAAGCGGCGACCACCCCUCGUCUCCUUGCCUGACGCCGGAAUUGGCAGAUCAGUGGCUGUCGCCGGCGCUGACACACAACACACAAGAACAGACAAAAAAAGGAAAAUCUGGGCAGAAAAGAAAUAAACAAAAAUGGGAGUUUAAGCUUUUUAUUCUGACUUUUAUUUUUUAUUUUCAGUUGACUUUAGUAUCAUUUUUUAUUCCAAAUUCAAAAUACAUAAUGAAAAUUUAGGUUGUUCUUUUGAUUUUGGUUUCCGAAAUGAAACGGAGUUGAAAUAGGUGUUCGAUUGUUGGAGUUGCCGUCCGGGGUGCGGUCCAUUGGUUUUGUUCGAGUUGGAUUUGCUACUUUGAAUUCCAUUCGUAGCUGCGUAUUCUGUCAGUGGACUGCCAAAAUUAUAUUAAUUGCAAGAUCAUUUUUCAGGUGUGGAUUCAUUUACCAGGACUCGAGCAUGAUAGAUACCCCAAGACCAUUCAGGACCAUUGCAAACAGGAGAUGCUUGAGGAGACUUUUUAUGUUUUUUUAGUCUGUUGUUCGUGUUUUACUUUCUAGUCUUGUCCAGUAAAAUUUAGUCUAUUAGUUGGUGUCAUAGUCUGUCGUAGUAUAGUUGAGUUUGUCAAGUAUCUCAUUAUCAUACUUCCUAUGAUGUAUUUGAAAACCAAAAAAAAUUAAAUGAAAAAUCCAAAAGAUUUAUGUUUUUA